rnacentral:rRNA from 1 species
UACGUAGGUCCUGAGCGUUGUCCGGAUUUAUUGGGCGUAAAGCGAGCGCAGGUGGUUUAUUAAGUCUGGUGUAAAAGGCAGUGGCCCAACCAUUGUAUGCAUUGGAAACUGGUAGACUUGAGUGCAGGAGAGGAGAGUGGAAUUCCAUGUGUAGCGGUGAAAUGCGUAGAUAUAUGGAGGAACACCGGUGGCGAAAGCGGCUCUCUGGCCUGUAACUGACACUGAGGCUCGAAAGCGUGGGGAGCAAACAGG